rnacentral:rRNA from 1 species
UACGAAGGGGGCUAGCGUUGUUCGGAAUUACUGGGCGUAAAGCGCACGUAGGCGGGUUGUUAAGUCAGGGGUGAAAUCCUGGAGCUCAACUCCAGAACUGCCUUUGAUACUGGCAACCUAGAGACUGGAAGAGGUUAGUGGAAUUCCCAGUGUAGAGGUGAAAUUUGUAGAUAUUGGGAAGAACACCAGUGGCGAAGGCGGCUAACUGGUCCAGCACUGACGCUGAGGUGCGAAAGCGUGGGGAGCAAACAGG